rnacentral:rRNA from 1 species
ACGGAGGCAGCAGUGGGGAAUAUUGCGCAAUGGGGGCAACCCUGACGCAGCAACGCCGCGUGAAGGAAGGAGGUCUUCGGAUUGUAAACUUUUGUCUUUGGGGACGAAUCAAUGACGGUACCCAAGGAGGAAGCUCCGGCUAACUACGUUCCAGCAGCCGCGGUAAUACGUAGGGAGCGAGCGUUGUCCGGAGUUACUGGGUGUAAAGGGUGCGUAGGCGGGUAUGCAAGUCACAUGUGAAAUACCGAGGCUCAACUUCGGGGCUGCAUGAGAAACUGUAUAUCUUGAGUGCAGGAGAGGUAAGCGGAAUUCCUAGUGUAGCGGUGAAAUGCGUAGAUAUUAGGAGGAACACCAGUGGCGAAGGCGGCUUACUGGACUGUAACUGACGCUGAGGCACGAAAGCGUGGGGAGCGAACAGGAUUAGAUACCCUGGUA